AUGCUCAUCACGGCGGCGUUCGGCAGGGCGGUGGCGAACCUGGGCAGGCGCGCGGGCCACCGCGGCGCGGCGCUGGUGGUGCCGGCGGGGCGGUGGCUCACGGGGCCCUUCAACCUCACCAGCCACUUCACCCUCUUCCUCCACCGCGGCGCCGAGAUCCUCGCAUCCUAG
rnacentral:rRNA from 1 species